ensembl:miRNA
GAGGGGGAAGGCGGGAGGGAAGAAGAGAGCUGUUCCAUCUCGGUUCCUCACUCCUCUCCUCCCGUCUUCUCCUCUC